UGAGGAAUAUUGGUCAAUGGGCGGAAGCCUGAACCAGCCAAGUAGCGUGAGGGAUGACUGCCCUAUGGGUUGUAAACCUCUUUUAUAAGGGAAUAAAAUACGGGACGUGUCCUGUUUUGCAUGUACCUUAUGAAUAAGGACCGGCUAAUUCCGUGCCAGCAGCCGCGGUAAUACGGAAGGUCCAGGCGUUAUCCGGAUUCAUUGGGUUUAAAGGGAGCGUAGGCCGCCUUUUUAAGCGUGUUGUGAAAUGUAGGGGCUCAACCCCUGCACUGCAGCGCGAACUGGAGGGCUUGAGUACACACAAAGUAGGCGGAAUUCAUGGUGUAGCGGUGAAAUGCUUAGAUAUCACGAAGAACUCCGAUUGCGAAGGCAGCUCACGGGAGCGCAACUGACGCUGAAGCUCGAAAGUGCGGGUAUCGAACAGGAUUAGAUACCCUGGUAGU
rnacentral:rRNA from 1 species